GAAUAAUGUAGGUAAGGGAAGUCGACAAAAUAGAUCCGUAACUUCGGGACAAGGAUUGGCUCUAAGGGUUGGAUAAAAUGAAUUUAGAUACACGGCCAUUCCUGCCUCAAACUCGACGGCGUCAGAUUGGUGGCGGUUCGGACUGUUUAUUUAGCGGAUAUUGAUUCAAUAACUGUCAUUUUGUGUAAGAACAACCAUCUUAGAACUGGUACGGACAAGGGGAAUCCGACUGU
rnacentral:rRNA from 1 species